UACAGAGGGUGCGAGCGUUAAUCGGAUUUACUGGGCGUAAAGGGUGCGUAGGUGGUCACGAAAGUCGGAUGUGAAAGCCCCGGGCUCAACCUGGGAGGUGCAUCCGAUACUGGGUAGCUAGAGUGUAGUAGAGGGAGGUGGAAUUUCCGGUGUAGCGGUGAAAUGCGUAGAGAUCGGAAGGAACACCAGUGGCGAAGGCGGCCUCCUGGACUAACACUGACGCUGAGGUACGAAAGCGUGGGGAUCAAACAGG
rnacentral:rRNA from 1 species